GACGAACGCUGGCGGCGUGCUUAACACAUGCAAGUCGAACGGAAAGGCCCUGCUUUUGUUGGGUGCUCGAGUGGCGAACGGGUGAGUAACACGUGAGUAACCUGCCCUUGACUUUGGGAUAACUUCAGGAAACUGGGGCUAAUACCGGAUAGGAGCUCCUGCUGCAUGGUGGGGGUUGGAAAGUUUCGGCGGUUGGGGAUGGACUCGCGGCUUAUCAGCUUGUUUGUGGGGUAGUGGCUUACCAAGGCUUUGACGGGUAGCCGGCCUGAGAGGGUGACCGGCCAAAUUGGGACUGAGAUACGGCCCAGACUCCUACGGGAGGCAGAAGUGGGGAAUAGUGCACAAUGGGCGGAAGCCUGAUGCAGCAACGCCGCGUGCGGGAUGACGGCCUUCGGGUUGUAAACCGCUUUCGCCUGUGACGAAGCGUGAGUGACGGUAAUGGGUAAAGAAGCACCGGCUAAGUACGUG
rnacentral:rRNA from 1 species